rnacentral:tRNA from 1 species
UGGCACAGUGGUUAAGCAUUUGGCUGCCAACCAAAAGGGUGGCAGUUCGAAUCUGCC